AGGAACGUUGAAGACGACGACGGUGAUAGGCCGGGUGUGUAAGCGCAGCGAUGCGUUGAGCUAACCGGUACUAAUGAACCGUGAGGCUUAACCUUACAACGCCGAAGGUGUUU
rnacentral:rRNA from 1 species